AUUGAACGCUGGCGGCAUGCUUUACACAUGCAAGUCGAACGGUAACAGGCCGCUAGGUGCUGACGAGUGGCGAACGGGUGAGUAAUGCAUCGGAACGUGCCCAGUCGUGGGGGAUAACUACUCGAAAGAGUAGCUAAUACCGCAUACGAUCUAUGGAUGAAAGCGGGGGACCGUAAGGCCUCGCGCGAUUGGAGCGGCCGAUGUCAGAUUAGGUAGUUGGUGGGGUAAAGGCUCACCAAGCCAACGAUCUGUAGCUGGUCUGAGAGGACAACCAGCCACACUGGGACUGAGACACGGCCCAGACUCCUACGGGAGGCAGCAGUGGGGAAUUUUGGACAAUGGGCGCAAGCCCGAUCCAGCAAUGCCGCGUGCAGGAAGAAGGCCUUCGGGUUGUAAACUGCUUUUGUACGGAACGAAACGGCUCUGGUUAAUACCCGGGGCUAAUGACGGUACCGUAAGAAUAAGCACCGGCUAACUACGUG
rnacentral:rRNA from 1 species